GACCAGAAACGCAAAGAAAAUCAGUCAAACCUGUCCUAAAGAAAUGAGGAAUGAACAUGGACUUCUUGUGCCCAAAAAGAAAAGACAGAAAGCUCCUAGAAUGAGCAAAUCAGCUGUGCAUUAUCUCUGUCGUUUGGGAAGGAAAUGACUGAAUAUGAUGAAGCCAGUUGAUGAAGAUAUCAAUUCAAUGGCCACCGAGUGCAGCACUGCUACCUGAACCCAUCAGUUAUCUGCUGUGAAGACUGCAUUCACAAACCGCUCUACUGCGACAGCUCAGAUGUUACGGCCCGUAAAAGUAAACGUCACAGCUAAACAAUGAGAGCUAGUUGUGGGGGGAUUCUUUUGGCCCAUAUCCCCAACAAGAAUCAAUGUUAAGUCCAGUGCAACAAUUCUAAAUAAAAAUACUAUAUAUUGUAUAUUGAUUUACCAUACCCUAAAUACAUGUUUUGUCCCUCCAGGACAUCUACACCAGGUGGAGUGUGUG